rnacentral:rRNA from 1 species
UACAGAGGUCUCAAGCGUUGUUCGGAUUCAUUGGGCGUAAAGGGUGUGUAGGUGGCGCCGUAAGUCGGGUGUGAAAUUUCGGAGCUUAACUCCGAAACUGCAUUCGAUACUGCGGUGCUUGAGGACUGGAGAGGAGACUGGAAUUCAUGGUGUAGCAGUGAAAAUGCGUAGAGAUCAUGAGGAAGACCAGUGGCGAAGGCGGGUCUCUGGACAGUUCCUGACACUGAGACACGAAGGCCAGGGGAGCAAACGGGG